GCAUAGCGUACCUUGUUGAUAAGAUUCCAUAUCCUCUAGUUUUACUGGCUAUACACCAGCCAUUCAGGACCAUGGUAUACAAAAAAUAUACUGAAGGUGGCACUCUCCCCUGCACCAAACACUGGGUAAUUGUCCAGUAGUGAACACUUUGUAGGGCUAUAUAAUCUACUUAGUACCAUUCCACAUGCAUCCUCUUGGCGACAUUUAAAAAAAAUAAUUCACUUCCUGCAGUUUAGUUACUUAUCUCAAAGGAGAGCAAUGGGCUUAUAUCUUUAUAUAUCCUUGAGAAAAGCCUCUUCUGCUUCCAUAAUUUUAUUCAGCCCACUAGGGUGUACAGAUUUUUCUAUUGGCAUUUAUUAAUUGUUUCUGCUAAUGUUCACAAUGUGCUAGGUGCUUUUUGAAUACAAAAGGCGGCACCAUCUAAAGAGUCUGCAAUCCAAGAGUGGCAUGGCAGUGUUCCUGACAGACCAGUGUUGUGAUCCAACAUAUCAUACCUGAUGUUCCUAGCUGUUCUGUAAGAAGAGAUGGGCUCAAACCAAACUCUUACAAUCUUUAGGAAGAAUCACUCAUUACCUGAACUUUAACUGUGCUCUGAGGGUCCUGCACAUGUUCCAGAGUUGCAUCAACAUCCAAUGCCACCACGAGUCCUGAUGUAAACCUCAAAGGGUUAUCAGACUCGCCAGCAGGUUCAAUAAUAGUUGAAGUAGCUCUGUGGAUCUGGGAGGAAAAGGGAAGAGGGUGGGGAGGAGAAAACAAACAUCUAAGAAAACACGAUGUCAACUUUUAGAAAUUCCUGACACUAUCUAAAAAUUAUUCAAGCUCCUUAACUUUUUGAGGACAGUCCUGGAAACACUGUGCAAUAGCUGAAGAAAUAUCCCUCAUGACUAGCCAGCCAAAUAGGCCAUAAAAGCCUCCUGCUCCACCAGGACACAGUUAACCCUGGAACCUUGGGUUGCUCUUCAUUCCUCUAUGGAUUACUGACCUGCUCUGGAAGAGGAAGGUGAAGGAAGGUGCUCUGUCGUAGCGUUGUUUGCAGGAUCUUCACCGCUUCUGAAGGUUUGGAGGUCACCAGUCUGGGCAUUAAGUCCAGCAGUUUAUCCACAAAACUGUCUUGCAUAUGGGGCAGGUCAGAAAUAAAACAUCUGUGCGUGUUAAAAAUAUAUUGAACAAAAGUCAAAUGCCUAUUACAGUCACUCAAUGA